rnacentral:rRNA from 1 species
UUUAAGCAUAUCACUCAGUGGAGGAACAGCAAGCAACUGCGAUUGCUUCAGUAACGGCGAGUGAACUGGCAGAACCAUGGCUCAGCCUGAAUGAGAUUCCAAUUGCACUGCCCAGGUGCAACCGGCUCUUGUGGAUUCCUCUGAUGCUGUGGGUUUUGGAGCAGGUGGCUGUUGCUGCCAGUGGCUGUGAUGCCCGGAAGUUGCCUGGAAUGGCUCACGACAGAGGGCUACUGUCCCGUACACCCAAAGUGCUGGCAUCAUGGCUGCUGGUGGCUCUGCUGCCUGUAUCCACGAGUAGAAUUGCUUGGGACUGCAGUUUGAAGUGUGGUGUGUAUCCACCACAAGGCAUCAUACCAACAUGGGACCGAUAGAGCACAAGUAGAGUGAUUGAAGGAUGCAAAGGACUUUGCAAAGAGGGUUAAAAGUCCCUGAAGCUGCAUCAGGAACGGCGGUGAGUGGUGCUGUGAUCCUCUGGCUGGAUGCAUUGGUCCCAGGGCUUUGCUGACCUGACUGGUGCUCCAGGCCAAACUGUGGAGCUGGCUCUCUGAGCACAAUGCCCACAGGGUGAGAUAUCAGGUGAUCUUGGGCCAGCCCAGCACCAGCCAUUGAGCCUUGGUCUGAAGGCCAGGAUGCAAUCAUGGUGGAUGCGUGGUGGCAACAGGCUUGUCUGGGCCUGAGAUUGACAGUGAUUCAACAGGGCUAUCCCCCCACGGUGUUCUGUGCCCCCAGUGGCCUCAGUUGGGGCUUGGCUGUGGGCCUGGCAUGGCAGGGCUUUGUCUCUGCUGGAGUGUGUGGCUUGGAAGAUGUGUGCAACCCUGCUCUGGUGUGUCUUCGGACAUGCCAGUCACCAUUGCCCAGGCAUGGUGGAGCUGGUGGAUAUAGUGUGGCUGCACUGCUCUGACAGUGGCCAUGCUGUGACUGCCUGGCUCUCCAGAUGGGGCAUGGUGUGAAACAGCGCAUUGCCUGGUGCAGCAGUGCUGGUCUCUGCCCGUCUUGAAACACGGACCAAGGAGUCUAUGGAGCUUGCAGGCUGGCUGGUACCAUCAGCAAAGCCAUCAGCAUGGUGAAGGCAAACAUUCCCAGAUGGGUUGGAGGCGCUCUCUUGUCUGUGGAUUCCUCUCCUAGCAACCUGGCUCUCCCGGGGCCAGAGUGUGGCAUGUGGAACACAACGCUGGUGCCACCCACUGCUGGAGGAUUCACUGCCUGUGGGGCCUUCCACAUUGCUGCAUGGGACACCGGGCCUGUUGUCCAGUGGACUGGGUUUUGAGUGCUUGCAAGGUCCAUGGGACCCGAAAGGUGGUGAACUAUACCUGACUACAACGAAGCCCUGGGAAACUGGGGUGGAGGUUGGUCGCUGUUCUGACGUGCAAAUUGUGUAGCCUGAGUCUGGCAUAGGGGUGAAAGGCCAAUCGAACCACCUAGUAGCUGGUUUCCUUCGAAGUUUCCCUCAGGAUAGCUGGGCUCAGAUGCAACCCAUCUGCUGAGUGGUUACAUCCGGUAAAGCAACGCAUGAGAGGCAUUCUGCAGGGAGCUUUGCUCCUUGACCUAUUCUCGAACUGUGAAUGGGUGUGGCAACAACCCAAAGGCAUGCUACUUCACUGAUGCCUGAGGCUGGGUCAAACCAGUGCUCGAGGCUUCUGAGCGUGUUCCUCUGUGGCUGCCCACUGGCUGUGUGUGGCUGGUCCCCCGAGUGACUGCAUGUGGUGGCUCUGUCCCCCAACCAAACUGGGCAUGGUUUGGGCUGCUGUGGCUGCUCCGUGCAGCAUGGCUUCCUCUCUGUGUCCUGGAGGGCGUGAGUGUGCGCAUGGCUGCCUCAGGGGCAAGCAACAACCCAUUCUGCUGUGAGCUGCUGCUAUGAUGAACAGAUGAGCCUAUGUGGGCCAUCAUUGGUAAGCAGUGCUGGCGACGCGGGGUGCUCCGAGAGUGGCCUUACAGAACCAGAGUGCUGGCUCAUACACAGAUCCCACAAAGGGUGUUGUCUGCUAGUGAUAGCAGGACAGUGGCCAUGAAGGUUGGAACCCGCUAAGGAAUGUGUAACAACUCACCUGCCGAAGCAGUCAGCCCCGAAAAUGGAUGGUGCCCAAGUCAGUGAAGCUGAGUGUGCCUGACAGUCCACCAUUGCUGUGGCAGCAAUGCAGAGCAUCACUGUGUAGAAUGGACAUGGAAGCUGCAGUGCCUGCUGUGGUUAUCCUCAGCUGGAGUGCCUUCUGGAGCAGAUCUUGGUUGCAGUAGCAAGUACUCCACCGGGUGAAGAGUGGCUUGACACCCUACUGUGCGUGGUUGAGGACUGGAGUGGAGCAGGUUUCCGCACCAAACAGCCGUUGAAUGCGGGUUAGCCGACCGUGAGCCAAGUGGUAAAUCACCGAACAACCAAAGCUGCCAUGCUGCUCAGGGGCUGGCCUCACUGGCUGUGUGUGUGUGUGGCUGCACUCAGUGCAUGGGCAACCCAACGCCAUGUGCUGUCCAGGCAGAGCAUCAUCAUGUGCUGGUGUGUCCCCCUGAUGUGGUGUUUGGCAGGAGUGGCAAACAGGCAAGCAGUGCAACAUUCUGCUGUGAUGGGCUUGGAGCAUCUCUGGAUGGUGACAUCCUGAACUUGGAGCAUGCAGGCUUCGGGGCAGUGCACCCCCUGUGGAGUUUUCGUUUCCUCCUGAUGCAGGCUCAUGCGGGCUAUUGAUUGACAUGACAGAUGGUGGUGCAGCCCACCGUCCAGCAGGGCAGUGCAAACUUUGCGCUGAUGGCCUUUGGCAUCUGUGGAGUGAACCAUCCAAGCCCAGUCCUUGGUGGUCACUGGCUCCAGUGAACAGCCUGCAGGACCCUGUGCUCCUGGUCCCUUGUCUUCGUACUGAAUCACCGCAGCCGGUCUCCUCGGCUUGACGCCGCUAGUCCACAGACUGAAUGCAGCUAAGGGAAGUCGGCAAACUAGCCAUGUACCUUUGGAAGAUGUGGUGGCUCCAAAGGCCAAGCUGCUGGGCCCAAUCCCUGGCCUUGUACAUCCUGCGUGGAACCACCAUACUAGAGUGGGACAACCCCACACCUGUCUCUUGGUGAGGGCCGUGCAGGUGAAUCCUGUGCCCCGUGGUUGGGGGCUAGGCUUGCCUAUGCCCAUCCCAGUGGCUGCCAAGUGGCUCAUAUGGAACUGUUGCUGUGCAGGGGAAUCUGACUGUUUAAUUGAAACCCAGCUUUGUGACGGGACCAGCUGGCUGGUUCCAUGAGGUGACUUCUGCCCAGUGCUCUGAUUGUCACUGCGAAGAGAUUCAGCCAAGCGCGGGUAAACGGCGGGAGUAACUAUGACUCUCUUAAGGUAGCCAAAUGCCUCGUCAACCAAUUAUUGACGCGCAUGAAUGGAUCAACGAGAUUCCUGCUGUCCCUAGGUGCUGUCUGGUGAACCAACAGCCAAGGGAACGGGCUUGGAUGUGUCAGCGGGGAAAGAAGA